rnacentral:rRNA from 1 species
CCCUUAGAUGUUCUGGGCCGCACGCGCGCUACACUGAUGCAUUCAACGAGUCUAAAACCUGCUCUGAUAGGGGUGGGUAAUCUUUUGAAUGUGCAUCGUGAUUGGGAUAGAUGAUUGCAAUUUUUCAUCUUCAACGAGGAAUGCCUAGUAAACGCAAGUCAUCAGCUUGCAUUGAUUACGUCCCUGCCCUUUGUACACACCGCCCGUCGCUCCUACCGAUUGAAUGAUCCGAUGAAUAUCAUGGAUUGAGGAUGCAAGCAGGUUCGCCUGUCUUCAUCUUCGAGAAGUGAAGUAAAUCUUAUCAUUUAGAGGAAGUAGAAGUCGUAACA